UGAAGACUUUCUUUUUCAUUCAAUAGCGCCUCUCCUAUAAGAGAAGGAGCUUUCUUCACCCCUACGUACGGCAGGCCCUUCUUCAAGAGUGCCCUUUCCCCAGCCUCCAAUCGUCUCAGAAGAGAAGACUAAGCUCAGACGAAUUGCAGUCCGCCCCGGCCCCUCCUUAGUGACUUUGGUCAGGAAAGGGAAUAGGGCAAUAAAUAGAGCUUCGGCUCAGAAUUAGACCUUCUGUAGACGGAACUUCAGACUUCUGGAUAGGCCUGAGAAAGCCUAGACCAAAGGUGCCUAAUAGCCUAGCCAGACUCAUCGGGUAG
rnacentral:lncRNA from 1 species